rnacentral:lncRNA from 1 species
UUCUUCAGUUCAUGGGAUUUUAUUUCAGGAGAAUUCAAACAUUCACGUAUUGGAGAAGAUGACACAUUUCUUGAAUGUCUUGGGCUUUGAGCUGAAUGCACUAACUAGAAGGGACUUCAGAUUGUCCUCCUUCGGGGGAGGUAAGUAUAUUCUUCAUAUACAGGUAAGAGUGAAAUGAUAGAAGAAUGUUCCUCCUCUCCUUUUCUUCCUGGACAACAGAUCAAAUAUUUCUCAGAUCUUUUACAGCUGAAUUGGAGUCACAUGGACAGGUAUGAUCUUAAAAUAUAAAAAAUUAUUUUAAAAUUACAUGCUAAAAUUUUAUAAAAAUAAAUGCUAAAACUAACUUAAACGGAAGCAUUUGAUUAAAAAAUUUAUCCAAAAAAGUUUGAAUUUUAUAUGAAACAGGAUAGAAGAUGAAAAAGCUAAAGAAAUAAAAUAUAAAUAAAUUAUGGCUGGGGACAGUGGCUCACACCUGUAAUCCCAGCACUUUGGGAGGCUGAGGUGGGAGGACUGAUUGAGGCUAGGAGUUUGAGACCUGUUAUUUGAGGCACAUGGGAAGGAAAGUUUUCUUUGAGAUAUUCCACAUUUUAUAAUAUUCUUCAAGAGAUUUACAGAGUUCCUUGAGUGAAUUGUUGGUUUGUUCUUAAUACUGAAUUUCCUAUUCAAAUUUAUUUAGAAGUUCAUUUCUUACAGUGAUCUCAUCUCCUAUUAAGAUAUUCUUCAAGGUAGGUUCUUGGCCAGUUUCUCAAUGACAGAUUUUUAAAAAUAUUGUUAAUCUUUUUAUUAAUAUGAGAACAUAAUUGUUCCAGAUCUGGAGGCCAUCCUUUAAGCUUCUUGCAACAGUCUGGGAGCAAAGAGUUUACUCGCCACUGGGUAGUGGGCCAUGGACACCCCAGUCUCCACCAGAAGUUCGGGAUUGCAAAAUGGGACUCUGGCAGCAAAUUUCAAACUGUAUGCCAGACCUGGCCCUUUGCAGUGAUAUAAAAUUUUUCUUGAGGUGUCUGGAAAGAUGGCUGAAUAGGAACAGCUCUGCUCUGCAGCUCCCAGCGAGAUCAACGCAGAAGGAGAUAAUUUCUGCAUUUCCAACUAAAGUACCCAGCUCAUCUCAUUGGGACUGGUUAGACAGUGGGUGCAGCCCACAGAAGGCAAGCAGAAGCAGGGUGGGGUGUUGCCUCACCCGGGAAGCGCAAGGGGUCAGGGAACUCCCUCCCCUAGCCAAGGGAAGCUGUGAGGGACUGUGCCGUGAGGAACGGGGCAUUCCGGCACAGAUACUAUGCUUUCCCCACGGUCUUUGCAACCCACAGACCAGGAGAUUCCCUUGGGUGCCUGCACCACCAGGGCCCUGGGUUUCAAGCAAAAAACUGGGCAGCCAUUUGGGCAGACACUGAGCUAGCAGCAGGAGUUUUUUUCAUACCCUAGUAGCCCCUAGAAUGCCAGCGAGACAGAACUGUUCACUCCCCUGGAAAGGGGCACUGAAGCCAGGGAGCCAAGUGGUCUAGCUCAGCAGAUCCCACCCCCACGGAGCCCAACAAGCUAAGACCCACUGGGUUGAAAUUCUCGCUGCCAGCACAGCAGUCUGAUGUCCACCUGGAAUGCUUGAGCUUGGUGCAGGGAGGGGCGUCUGCCAUUACUGAGGCUUGAUUAGGCAGUUUCCCCCUCACAGUGUAAACAAAGCUGCUGGGAAGUUUGAACUGGGUGGAGCCCACUGCAGCUCGGCAAAGUUGCUGUAGCAAGAGUGUCUCUCUAGAUUCCUCCUCUCUGAGCAGGGCAUCUCUGAAACAAAGGCAGCAGCCCCAGUCAGGGACUUAUAGAUAAAACUCCCAUCUCCCUGGGACAGAGCACCUGGGGGAAGGGGCAGCUGUGGGCACAGCUUCAGGACACUUAAACGUUCCUGCCUGCUGGCUCUGAAGAGAGCAGCAGAUCUCCCAGCACAGUGCUCAAGUUCUGCUAAGGGACAGACUGCCUCCUCAAGUGGGUCCCUGACCCCUGUGCCUCCGGAGUGGGAGAGACCUUCCAGCAGGGGUCAACAGACAUCUGGUGGGUGCCCGUCUGAGACGAAGCUUCCAGAGGAAGGAACAGGCAGCAAUCUGUGCUGUUCUGUAGCCUGCGCUGGUGAUACCCAGGUAAACAGGGUCUGGAGUGGAUCUCCAACAAACUCCAGCAGACCUGCAGCAGAGGGGCCUGACUGUUAUAAGGAAAACUAACAAACAGAAAGGAAUAGCGUCAACAUCAACAAAAAGGACAUCCACACAAAAACCCCAUCCGAAGGUCACCAGCAUCAAAGACCAAAGGUAGAUAAAUCCAUGAAGAUGAGGAAAAACCAGUGCAAAAAGGCUGAAAAUUCCAAAAACCAGAACACCUUUUCUCCUGCAAAGGAUCACAACUCCUUGCCAGCAAGAGAACAAAACUGGAUGGAGAAUGAGUUUGACGAAUUUACAGAAGGAGGCUUCAGAAGGUGGGUAAUAACAAACUCCUCUGAGCUAAAGGAGCAUGUUCUAACCCAAUGCAAGGAAGCUAAAAAUGAAAAAAGGCUGGAGGAAUUGCUAACUAGAAUAACCACUUUAGAGAAGAACAUAAAUGAUCUGAUGGAGCUGAAAAACACAGCACGAGACCUUCGUGAAGCAUACAGAAGUAUCAAUAGCUGAAUCGAUCAAGCAGAAGAAAGGAUAUCAGAGAUUGAAGAUCAACUUAAUGACAUAAAGUGUGACGUCAAGAUUAGAG